rnacentral:rRNA from 1 species
UACAGAGACCUCAAGCGUUAUCCGGAAUCAUUGGGCGUAAAGCGUACCGAUAGGUGGUUAUACAAGUCAGAAGUGAAAUCUCCGAGCUCAACUCGGAAUCUGUCUUUGAAACUGUAUGACUAGAGGGGCAAAGAGGAAGCUGGAACGAACGGUGUAGUAGUGAAAUGCGUUGAUAUCGUUCGGAACACCAAUAGCGUAGGCAGGCUUCUGGGUGCCACCUGACACUGCUAGGACGAAAGCGUGGGGAGCGAAUGGG